GUGUCAGCAGCCGCGGUAAGACGGAGGGGGCUAGCGUUGUUCGGAAUUACUGGGCGUAAAGCGCGCGUAGGCGGCCGGUCAAGUUAGGCGUGAAAGGCCUGGGCUCAACCUGGGAACGGCGCUUAAGACUGAUCGGCUGGAGUCCGGGAGAGGGUGGUGGAAUUCCCAGUGUAGAGGUGAAAUUCGUAGAUAUUGGGAGGAACACCGGUGGCGAAGGCGGCCACCUGGCCCGGCACUGACGCUGAGGCGCGAAAGCGUGGGGAGCAAACAGGAUUAGAUACCCCCGUAGUCC
rnacentral:rRNA from 1 species